rnacentral:tRNA from 1 species
CCUCAAAUAGCUCAGUUGGUAGAGCGGUGGACUGUAGAUCCAUAGGUCGCUGGUUCAACUCCGGCUUUGAGGA